rnacentral:tRNA from 1 species
GUUCUUGUAGCUCAGUGGUAGAGCAUUUGACUGCAGAUCAAGAGGUCCCCAAUUCAAAUCCAGGUGCC